rnacentral:piRNA from 1 species
UAUGAACAAUAUUCCUUGUAAUUUCUUAGC